ensembl:lncRNA
ACUCUGCUUCCAGCCCUGUGGCAGAAGCACCCCAAGCAGCAGCACAGAGAGCAGCAGGCUGUAAUUUGCCAACAGGGCUGUGUACCUCAAUGAGUGCUUCCUACGUGUCUAUAGGAAGAUUAUCCUAUCAAGUCCCAUGCUUCUCUGAAAGCAUUGGCCUCAACUGAACAUGCUGGCAAAAUACCUGUAGUGGAAAUGCUAAGUCAGAGCUUGAACCAGUGAUUGAGCACCUGGUGGGAAGGCAGGGCCAACCAAGGGGAGCUCAGGUGCAUGCAAUGUAACUGAGUGACCAGAAGGGAUGGAGCCAGGAUCCACCCCUUCCUAGACAUCACACAAGUGUUGGCAGUGGAGGCAAGCAAGGACUUCUGAAGCCCACAAGCUUCAUAGAUCUGAAAAAAGGAGCAGUCACUUUCCAGAGAAGAGAACCUGGAAGACCCGGCUGCUGCUGGGACAACCUCUGCUUGCUCCUUGUAACCACCAUGAGAAACUCUGCAGGCAGCUGCUCAGUGGCCUGUUUUUGCAGCAAGGGGAUGUUAUCCUGUGCUACCGUGACCACCAGCAUUUGGGGAGAUGGAAGCUGCAUUUAAGGAUUCUGCCAGGCAAAAGAGAGAAGUGACCCUGGACCCUUCAGUUCAUAGAGAGCUGGUUGGCACUUACUUUGGUUGGCCCAAAGGAAAUACAAUCAAGUGUGUGUGAAAGAGCAAGCACUGGGUCACAGCUCCGAGAGCAGCAGUAAGAAGCACUCUUUCUCUGCAAAGCAAGGGGCUUAUGGGCAAAACACAGCCAUUCUCAGACAGCUCAAUGAAACACACACAACCUGAACAAAAACAGCAGCACCAUGACUUUUCCUUGUCACAGCUCAAAGGAGGAAGCAACUGCAUCUGCUACCCAGACUGCACGCUGCUAUUUCCAGGUGUGUUUUCCCCCUGCCAAACCUGCAGCAUAGGAAGCAAGCCCUGCCUGUUGCAUGGCUGGCUAAUCUCCUAUCAUUCAUUCUUCCAUUCAGCAAUGUAGCAUUGUGUGUUCUGUGUUUGGUAUUGCUGAAAUAAAGAGCAUAACU